rnacentral:tRNA from 1 species
CCUUGAGGUGAGCGACCUCGCGAUCGAGCGUGAUCGACUCGAUCGCUCGGUGGGCCCGCAGCAUGAUGGUGCCG